GCCCAGACUCCUACGGGAGGCAGCAGUGGGGAAUAUUGGGCAAUGGGCGCAAGCCUGACCCAGCAACGCCGCGUGAAGGAAGAAGGCUUUCGGGUUGUAAACUUCUUUUCUGAGGGACGAAGAAAGUGACGGUACCUCAGGAAUAAGCCACGGCUAACUACGUGCCAGCAGCCGCGGUAAUACGUAGGCGGCAAGCGUUAUCCGGAUUUAUUGGGUGUAAAGGGCGUGUAGGCGGGAAAGCAAGUCAGAUGUGAAAACUCAGGGCUCAACCCUGAGCCCGCAUUUGAAACUGUUUUUCUUGAGUGCUGGAGAGGCAAUCGGAAUUCCGUGUGUAGCGGUGAAAUGCGUAGAUAUACGGAGGAACACCAGUGGCGAAGGCGGUCAACUGGACAGCAACUGACGCUGAGGCGCGAAAGCGUGGGGAGCAAACAGGAUUAGAUACCCUUGUA
rnacentral:rRNA from 1 species